rnacentral:lncRNA from 1 species
CUUUGUUUCUAGUAUCUAAUUUAAGUUAAUCUGAUUUUGUUGUAUCCAUGUCACAGGAAGUGCUAGUUAGAUAUUUAUUUUCUGCAAAAUUGUUAAUGUCGGGGGAGCCACAUGACCUAUGUGGGAGCUACUAGCCCAGCUACCAUCUGUCAUCUGUCAGGAAUAUUAUUCAGCUGUAAGAAGAUGGAAAAUUCUGACAUGCUACAACAAAGAUGAACCUUAAAGAUAUUAUAUUGAGUAAAAUAAACCAGUCACAAA